AGGAGGGAACUUCGAAUUUUCAUUGAUAUUCAAAAGUAACUAAUGAGUUAUUAUAAUUGGCUAUUUAUACUACUCAAUGAACUACUGAAAAUGUAAAAUCAAGGCAAGAGAAUUGAGCUAAGGCAUAAGCCAAACAUACUAUUUACAUUUCCCGCCAUUAACUAAUAUUCAAAUUUGAACUAUAACUAACUUUCAAAUGAACUACUCUUCAGCUGUUGAAUUGGCUUCUUUAUGGACUCCUCCUGAAAUUUGUGUAUCAAUACCCCUAUGUGGAAGAACACCCUUGUCAUGAAGGGUGAAAGAAGGGAACAUGGUCCGAAGGAGAGAAAUAAAUUCUCAAGUAGCAGCAUCAACUUCCAAACCUUGCCGUUUAACCAAGCAUUGGGCCACUGCCUUGUUACCCUUUUUGACCAACCUACGAUCAAGUAUAGCUUCAGGGGCAGGACAUAAAGGGCUAGAAAGAUUUAGGUUAGGAGGGUGGAUAAUUUCAGAAGGUAGGACAGGGCAGAACUUGAGCUGGGAUAUAUGGAAAGUCGGAUGUAUUUGGACUUCAGGUGGGAGCAGCAAUUUGUAGGCAACUGCUCCAACUCGUUCAACAAUAGGGUAAGGGCCAAAAAAGUGAGAGGUAAGCCUAAGAUAGGGAGAGAGAGAAAGGGUGGAUUGCCUAUAAGGCUGCAACUUCAUAAAGACCCAAUCACCAACUGAAAACUGUCGGUCAGUGCGAUGAGCAUUGACUUGAUCUUGCAUACGUUGCUGAGCUCAUGCCAAAUGAUACUUAGCUAGCUGCAUUUUAACGUCGCGGAGUAGAAGAAUGCUCUCAAUGUCAUUAGAAGGAGAGUCACCAUGAUGAUAAGGGAGGUGAAGAGGAGGGGGGUAAUCAUAAAGGAGUUCAAAAGGUGAAGUCUGAAUGAUAGAGUGGUGUAAGGGAUUAUACCACCAUUCAGCCAAAGGAAAGAAGGCACACCAAUCAACUGGUGAAUCAGAACAGAAAUAGCGAAGAUAAGUCUCCAAACAUCGAUUGAGAACCUCAGUUUGGCCAUCAGUUUGCAGAUGGUAAUCUGUAUAAGUGUGCAAAUGUACACCCUGAGCAGAAAGGAACUCCUUCCAAAAAUAGCUAAUGAAAAUAUGAUCACGUUCACUGGCGAUGGUAGCAGGAAACCCAUGUUGUUUGAAUAUAACAACAACAACAACAACAACAACCCAGUGUAAUCCCACUUAGUGGGGUCUGGGUAGAGAGGCUGUUUCCAAAUAGACCCCCGGCAUCCUUCCCUCUCUACCAUGUUGUUUGAAUAUGUGGUCUAGAAAAACAGGCACAAGGGACUGGGCGGUAUAGGGGUGAGCCAAAGCAAUAAAAUGACCAUACUUAGUCAAUCUAUCUAUUAUACUGGGUAGUUGUUGUUGUUAGUCAAUCUAUCAAUUAUGACCCAAAUAACAGUCUUGCCCCUUGAUUUGGACAAGCCUUCAAUAAAAUCAAUGUUGAUAUUUGUCCAAGGAACUGCAGGGAGAUGUAGAGGUUUCUACAAACCAGCUGAAGCAAACAUGUCAUACUUGUUCCUUUGACAAACAGAACAAUUGCACUUAAAAUUGAGAACAUCAGUUCUGAUGCACUUCCAAUAAAUGUAAGACAUCAAUUUCCUAGUUGUUGUAUCAAUACGAGAAUGUCCACCAGAUGGAGAAGAAUACCACAGCUGCAAAAGCUUAGUCCUGAGCGCCAGAUCAUUUCCAACUAUCAAUUUACCCUUCCUCCUGAGUUCAUUGUUUAUCUAAGUGAAGUGUUUCUGUGGUGAAGUCUGUAAAGAAGAAUGAGAUGGCUCAACUCAGGAUCUUGAAACCAACUGUUGUGAAUUUCAUUUCAAAGAUCAGUCCGAACAGAAGAAACCAUGAGGGACAUCAGCUCAGCACCUGACAUUCUAGACAAGGAAUCAACACCACAUUCUCCUUGCCCUUGUUGUACUGAAUUUCAAAGUCAAGGGUAGCAACUUAGCCAACCACAUAAUCUGCAAAUUAGUGUGUAACUUCUAUUCCAAUAAGUACUUAAGGGCUUUCUGAUCAGUUCUCACAAUAAAGUGAUGUCCCAGAAGAUAGUGAGACCAUUUAGUAACUGCAAACACUAGAGCCAACAACUCAUUCUCAUACACAGAUAAAGCCAUGUGCCUAGGAGCUAACCCCUUGCCAAUGAAGGCUAUGGGAUGGUCAUGUUGCAUAACACUAAUGUCUGUGCCACUAGCAUCUAUCUCAACUACAAAUGGGAUAGAUUGUUAGGUAAUACUAAUACAGGAGCAGAAGUAAGAGGCAAUUUCAAUGAUGCAAAUGCCUCUGCAGCUUUAGCAUUCACAGAAAACUAUCCUUCCUGAGUAAGUCUGUGAGUGGCCUACUAAUAAUACCAUAGACCUUGAUGAAUUUUCUGUAAUACCUUUCCAAACCCAAGAAGCCCCUCAGCUGUUUAGCAGUCGUGGGAAUUGGCUAUUGCUAGGCUGCUUCAAUUUUCCUAGGAUCAGUAGAGACCCCAUUAGCAGUAAUAAAAUGUCCUAACUAUUCCACCCUUGAAACUCCAAAUGCACACAUAGAUUUCUUGGCCCAUAGAUUGUGAGUGACCAUAGUGUCAAAUUCCUGCUUCAAAUGUCCCACAUGAUCUUGCAAAUUAACACAAUAGAUCAAAAUGUCAUCAAAGAACACUAAAACAAAUUUUUUGAGAAACGUCUAAAACAAGUGAUUCAUGAGAUAUUGAAAUGUAGGUGGAGCAUUAGUUAAUCCAAAAGGCAUUACUAAAUACUCAUAGUGUCCAGAAUGUGUUUUGAAGCAGUCUUGAAAACAUCCUCAGGUAGCAUCCUGAUUUGAUAAUAACUAGAUUUGAGAUCAAUUUUAGAGAAAAUUGUGGCCUCAGCCAACUCAUCUAGCAGAUCAUCUAUAAGGGGUAUAGGGAAUCUAUCCUUGACCUUGCACUGGUUCAAUUCUCUGUAGUCUACUCAUAGUCUCCAAGAUCCAUCCUUCUUGCCAAUAAGAACCACAUGAGAGGAAAAAGGGACUGUUUUUUACUGGAUGACCCCUUGCUGCAACAUUUCAUUAACCAACUAUUCAAUGAUGUCCUUUUUAAUAGAAAAGUACCUGUAUGGUCUAACAUUCACAGGUUUUGAGCCAGGUUAAAGAGGUAUUCUAUGAUCAAAAGCUCCCUUUUGUAGAGGUACGGAUGUAGGUUCAGCAAAGACGAAGUGGUAUUGAUACAGCAGCUAAUCAAUAAUGGAAGUACUAUCAGCUGUAGUCAUAUGCAAGGCUUGACAGUGCAUCGGGGUAAGUUAUCUAGGAAUACUAUCUCUCACUUGCACAAUAAAGAACUAUAUAUCAUCCGCCUUUAACCUAUUCAAUGACUUUGGACUGGAGACCUUACAGUCCUCAAACACUCCCCUGAAUAAAUGAGACUUUCCUUGAUAAUCGAAAUCCAUAGUAAGCUAUGAGUAGACAAGAGGGGCUUGGUCUGAUGGUAACCAACCCUCACUUACAACCGAGAGGUUGUGAGNNNNNNNNNNNNNNNNNNNNNNNNNNNNNNNNNNNNNNNNNNNNNNNNNNNNNNNNNNNNNNNNNNNNNNNNNNNNNNNNNNNNNNNNNNNNNNNNNNNNNNNNNNNNNNNNNNNNNNNNNNNNNNNNNNNNNNNNNNNNNNNNNNNNNNNNNNNNNNNNNNNNNNNNNNNNNNNNNNNNNNNNNNNNNNNNNNNNNNNNNNNNNNNNNNNNNNNNNNNNNNNNNNNNNNNNNNNNNNNNNNNNNNNNNNNNNNNNNNNNNNNNNNNNNNNNNNNNNNNNNNNNNNNNNNNNNNNNNNNNNNNNNNNNNNNNNNNNNNNNNNNNNNNNNNNNNNNNNNNNNNNNNNNNNNNNNNNNNNNNNNNNNNNNNNNNNNNNNNNNNNNNNNNNNNNNNNNNNNNNNNNNNNNNNNNNNNNNNNNNNNNNNNNNNNNNNNNNNNNNNNNNNNNNNNNNNNNNNNNNNNNNNNNNNNNNNNNNNNNNNNNNNNNNNNNNNNNNNNNNNNNNNNNNNNNNNNNNNNNNNNNNNNNCCCAGGAGCAAAUUCUGGGGAUUUAUGCCGGGGGUCUAUUUGGAAACAGCCUCUCUACCCCAGGGUAGGGGUAAGGCUGCGUACACACUACCCUCCCAGACACCACUGAGUGGUAUUGUACUGGGUCGUACUUUUUUUUUUAGUAAGCUAUGAGUAAUCCACAGUAAUGAGACCAAGUGUUUUCAUCCAUAAAGUUCCCAAAACCAGAUCAUAUUUACCAACUGGGAAUACAAGUAAGUUAGAAGAGAAUGUUGUACCCCACAUAAUCCAUUCAAAACCCCUGACAACCCCAGAGGUGGCUUCCAAAGUGUUGUUGCCAAGGCUUACAUAACUCACCCUGCUAGGAUUAAUUUGACACCCCAAGCUCUUGGCAGCCCUUUCAUCAAUAAAGUUAUGAGUAUUACCCCCAUCAAGUAAAAUUUGAAUUGGCCUAUUCUCAUUAUAUCCAGUAACAUUAAUGGUUAAGCUCCUUGUAAGCCACUUAAGGCACAUAAGGAUAUCAUAUGAGUAUCACCUUCUCCAGCUGCCCAUUCUUCCUUAGAAGGAGUCUCUCAAAUUGUUGCUUCAUAGUCUCAUCACACUCACCUUCUAUAAUUUCUAAAUCCAUCACAAACAAUUGUUUAGGUAGAUUACAUUUAUGACCAACAAUGUACUUAUCAUCACAAAAAUAUCAAAGACCCUGUGCCCUCCUAACCUGUAUUUCUGCAGAAGAAAUUGUUCUCCAGUUUCUGGCCAGAUUCACAGAGGUUAAAGGAGGUAGAGCUAAUCGAGGAGUUGAUGAAUUAGAUCUAGGGUUAUGUUUCAGGGUAAGUGGCUCAUAGGAAGGCUUUUUGAGGUGAGUAGAGGAUACAGAAGUAGUGUGACUCCUUAAGGCUCUAGCAUUAGCAGCUGAGGUUGCUUCAGCUAAUAUAGCUAAGCGAUAAGUUUUGGAAAAUGUCUGAGGCUCAUGAUUUUAAUAGGUUUCACCAAUUUUCCUUCAAUCCUCCUAGAAAACAGGAUAUAGUGUGGCUAACAGUUAGAUACCACCGAGCUAAUAACCUAGCAAAAGCAAAUUGAAACUCCUUCACUGAACUAGUCUGCUUUACCUGCUUCAACUCUAGCAUAGGAUCAGUAUACUUCUCACUAAAUGUUUCAAUCAAAGCCUCGAUAUACUCAUCCCAUGGAGGAAGGAUGGGCGAACCUCUGCAUUUCAAAUAGGACCGAUGUCAAGCUAGAGCAUCAUCAUCCAAAUUCAUGGAUACUAUGUCUACCUUUGAUUUGAAGCAGUAUUGUCAACAACAAAAUAUUAGUCAAUUCUAUACAACCAGCUUUUCAAAUCUUCACCAUUUAAUCUAGGAAAUAACAAAUUAUGACUUCGAUUGUUAGGAACAUGAUAUGGAUUAGGUCCUAAAAACACCUUACCUGAUUGUACAUUAUCGCGGAUCUUAGAAGUGGAACUAUUGUCUUGUGAUUGCUAGUGCAGCUGCAUUCCAUCAAUCGAGUUUUUGAGGGCUUCAACCAUAUGUAGCAUUUCAGCAUGUUGAUGACCCAAGUCAGGUCACAGUUCAUCUAUUUUCUGAUCGAGAAUUGAACGCAGAUCUAGCUGUUGAGCAGCUAGGUCUUCAUAUUGUUCCUGCCAGUCUGAAUUUGCAGGAUCAACAGCUUUACGUGGUCCCAUGGUUUGGCUAUGAUACCAAUUGAUACCAAAUUAUUGGUAUCUAGUUGACAAUUAGAGAGAAUUCUGAGAGGAGAAGACAGAAAUUUGAGGGAGAAGCAAAAGAGAAGAAGAAGUAAGCAGAAAAUUAGAGAAGUCGGAGGGAAAUUCAAAUUUUCAUUGAUAUUCAAAAGUAACUAAUGAGUUAUUACAACUGGCUAUUUAUACUACUCAAUGAUCUACUGAAAAUGUAAAAUUAAGGCAAGUGAACUGAGCUAAGGCAUAAGCUAAAUAUACUAACUACAUUUCCCGCUAUUAACUAGUAUUCAAAUUUGAACUAUAACUAACAUAACUAACUUUCAAAUGACCUACUCUUCAGCUGUUGACGUGGCUUCUUCAUGGACUCUUGCUGAAUUUUGUGUAUCAUUCUCAAAUCAUAGUGUCAACAUCGAUCAUCACGGGUCCUCGUGCAAAGUAGGAGUUUUUGCCCAUUGCUUCUGGAUUCUCUUUGAAGGUUUGUCCAUUUUUGCUUUUCCGGCGCUAUGCAUAAUUUCUCACUAGACCUUUAACAUGCAUGUUGAUUCUAUCUGAUUUGCAUAUGCAUCUAUGAAAUAAAAUAGAUACCUGAUAAUUGUAUACUUCCGGUCUUUGAUGUCGUUCAUUUCUUAUUAUCUCUCUCCUUCCUUUUGCUCCAGACCAGCUUCUUUCUUCUGGCGAGUUAGAAAGAGAGAUAAUAGAUCAUUUUACACAAUUAUGGCAAACAAAGCAGAAAAUGAAGAAUAAUUUUUGGAAAACCAGAUGACAUUGGGAUCUUCUAUCAUUAUUAUCUCUCUGAAAUUUUUUGCACAUAGUAAUAGGAGCAGAAAACUUAGUGCAAUCAUAAAAAUAUGCAAGAGGACUUACUGAACUUCUCCCUCAAUAAAAUCUGCAUCAAAGUGUCUCAGCACCAGCAACGGUCCAACAGAAAGACAGUACCAACCUAAAAAAGCAUCAACAUAACGAAAAAUAGAUGGUAACAAGAUCUUAUGGCAAUUUCUACAACAAAAUUAAGUCUUACUCCUUAAAGAGCACUUAUUUGUUAAGACAACAAAAUCCAUAAAUGUUGUAAAUUUUUUUCAGGGGCAUAGUAGCAUGUAAAAGAAUAUAAAUAAUGAUCAUUAAUCGAAAACCUAAACACAAAAAGACAUAUUCAGGUUUUAAGUAUUUAUCACUAAAGCAAGUCUACCACAUAGUGCCUUAACUCCAAGUAAAAAUCCUUUUUUUAGCCAAGUCUAAAUAGCAUCUUACUAUAACAUAACACCUAAAAUUUAGAUCAGACUAAUACAAUAGCACAUAUUUGUUCCUCGCAAAAAUUACUACUAUAAUAGAAGAAAGUCAAAUGCUUUCCGUUUAUGUUCUAGGAGUAUAUAACAACAUAAUAGAAGAAUUUUAUCAGCUCGUCUCGAAGUAAUUCAAAAAUGUUGACUCCAUUUGCAAGACCUGCAUAACAGAGGGCUAUUUAACCUCACCAGCAAAUCUAUAACCAUUACAUAGUGAAAAAUUACAGAUAAUAUCACAUAUCUGACUGCUGAAAAACUAAUCUUCUUGACAAUAAUUCAAACUUCACAUUGAGUGAAAAUAAUAUCACUGUUUUGAUUGAAGUUAAUACCUAAUAAACAAUACGGCAACAUAAUAUUGACAACUUAGAAAUUGAUAGAAACAGAAACAGAAAAGGACUAAUACUCUAUCGGAGCUUCGUCCAUCUUUCUUUUAUUGUUAGACAUCUAUUUUCAUACAUUUCAUAAAGUUUCUUUAAAAAUAAAGUCUACAUUUUGUAAUCUUAACAUUUAAUUUAUUCAUAAAGUAGACAAUCUAUACAGCGCAACACAAAUAUAUAAAGCACAACUACUUUGUAUUAUGAUUAAGAAACGACAUUAGAAGGAAAAACUGCAGAAAUUACAUCUUGUGGUCGAAGCAGUUUCCCUUUUCCCACCACCUUGAGUGGUUUCUAUUUUUAAAAGCCUGUGAAAUCGAAAUUGUGUAACCAUUAUAUUCCAACUAUACAGAUUCCCAAAAUUCGAUUAUGUCCUGUAUUGAGAAAUUAAAAUUCAGGGAGUAAAUAUGAGUAGUGAAAAAUACAGGUCGAUCCAAAAUUAAAAGAGCAAUCUGGUUGCAAAAUUAUCAUAGACCGAGGAAGAAUAAACAAUUUAAAAAGAUUAUAAUCUGACAGCAAGAGCAAGAGAAUCAAUAGCUUUUACAAGGCUCAAUGGAACACAAAUUAUAUUUUAAGCAAUUUCCUCGGAACAAUAUAAAUCCGAGAACAUAUUAUCAAGAAAUCAAAUCAAAUUCAUCUUUGAAAAAACAAAGAUGAGAUUGAUCUUUCCUGAAAAAAGUCAACUGGGAUUAAGAAAAAUUUGAUUCCGGGUAUAUGCUUAGGUCCCAUAUUUGAAGAUGGACCCACCGGAAGCCGUUGAAAUAUGAAUCUGGAUCCGUUUACUCAAAAUAUUGAUCGAAAUCAACUAAAAUUAAUUUUUUAAGGCAAAAAUUUUUGUUUUUAUCAAACAAGCCUUCCGAGUCAAUACCCGAACUACGCAGGCAGAUAGAAAAGACUAAAAUGAGGUUCUAAAGGCUGUAGAUAGUACCUCAGCUGAGCAUAAAGAAAGGAAGAGGAAGAAGAAAGUGUAGUUGGAAAAUAAGGGAAGUUUGAACGUCACCAUGUUAGAGAAAGAAAGCAUAUGCUAUUGUUGGAUGGUAAGGUUUUCGAUAGAGUUGCAAAUUUAUAACCACUUUGCAGCCCCCCACCCCCCACACAUAACCAUUUUAUAAUAGCUCCUCGUUUCUUAUACUAUGUGCCAUGUACGCGCGUUAGAAGAACUGAUUUAUAUAUCCACUUGAAAACAAGUACUACACCAUUGCAAACUAUGCUCAUCUUUGAAUAAAAUUCAGAACUUAUAUGUUAAUUCACCACUCAAACGACUUAUUUACUGCACUCUCUGUACUCUCAUCAAACUUUUAUUUUAAGUUUAUGAGUUUUAAAUUCUAAAAAAUUCAACUUAUUAAGUUUUGAAUAAUAGGCUUUUUAGAUGAAUAUAACACUAUUAAAAACGGUGUAAUUUCGUCCACUAAAACUGAUCGAAAUCAACAGAAAUUAAUAAAAAUCGAUCAAUUUCCGACAGAAGUCGGUCGGUAACCUUUUAAUUUUUAUUUAUUUUAAAAUUUCAAAUACCGACCGAAAUCGGUCGGAAUUUUGAAAAAAUAAUAAUUUUAUUUAAAUAAAUAAUUAGUUGUAAAUUAUAUAAAUUGUUAAUUUAUUUAAAAAAUAAAUAUAAAUUCAUAAUUUCUGACCGAAUUCAGUCGGAAAUUUCAAAAAAUUGGAGAAUUUAUUCAAAUUUUUUGACCGAAUUCGAUCGGAAAAUAUGAAUUUCUAGGCAAAAACGCCGAUUAAUCUAGGUAAAAACUGGGCAGAAAAUGCAUGCUUUUAAGCUACACCACUUGCCAAUGACAACCAAUAUCCAUCCUAUAAUGGCAGCAUUACAUUACUGCCAUUCAACCAUAAUUAAUCAACAAUAAUUAACUAACUAACUAACAACAACAACAAUUAACUAACAAAAACAAUUAACUAAAACAAGCGACCAUUAUCUAACAACAACAAUACCAACCACAACACAACCAUACAAAUGUUCAAAAACAAAAUAAUAUCAACAAUAUAAUCAUCAUUCAAAACUAGUCUCAACUAAAUAUUAACAAGCUCAAUACUUUGUUUAGAAAUACACACCAUUCAAUGAGUGUUUUAUCUAGCAUCAUCUCCGUCUUCACUCCUAGAAUCUUCAUCGUCGGCAUGGUUUGAAGGAUCGCGACGAGAAGGAUUAGCACAUGGGGAAGGCUUACGAGACCGGGGAAUGGGGAAAACACCACUAGCAAGAAGAUCGGCCAGCUGGACUUGAAGGAGAUUAAAUAGUCCGUCCCUCCUUUCUAGCUGAACUUCAAGGUUACCGAAUUGUUCGUCUCUCUUUUAUUCUCUAGCCUUUGUCUCUUCAAGCUCUGCUGCCAGCUUUGCGAUCUUCUCUUCCAUAGACGAGAUAGUCGACCUAUCAAUUACCUUGCCUUGGGCGGAAGUCCCUAUACCUUGCAAUCCAGUCCUGUAGCACCGAAAAGAUUUCUUUGGAACGCCGUAUGCUAUCCCCUUUUAGGACACCGAUAACACCCAACCAUAUCCUCUGCGCUUUUUCAUCUGAAAUGGGUAGCCGCUCGCAUUGAUCAUUCUGUGACAAGCUCUGAGUGUGCUCCUCCACAUUAAUCUUGUAGCGACCCUUUAUUCAGAAGAUAGAAAUUUAUUAACUAUAUAAUAUUAUAAAUAUUUAUAUUAGUUAUAAAAUUUACAUAUGCAGUCUCCCCCCGGUCCUCGACCCAUAUAUAUAAGCUAUAUUCGAUAUAAAAUUAGCUAUACUAGGGGGUGUGUGUGUGUAUAAAUGCUAAAAGCUAUAUUCGAUCAAACUUACUAUAACACAUAUAAUUGUUCUUGUUGCUACAUGCGGGGGUGAUAUAUAAAUGAGGGGUCGAGCGUAUAUGCAUGUGCCAUGGUUAACCAUGCUCGCACAUUGUACGAUUCUUUGUUCUUUGUUGGAAUAUCUAAUUUUCUUGCUUCAUGUUUUACUUGACUUCUAUAAAAAAAUAUGAAUAUGAAUUUUAAUGCUAGAAACUAUGAUGUUGUUUGAGGUGUUUUGAUAAUUGGAACAAGUUUGAAUAAGGUAUUGGGUUGUGUUGGUGCUUUUGGUUGAGGUCCCGGGGGGCUUCGGGGUGAUUUCAGAUGGCUAUUGGGAAGUGUUGGAACUUGAGUGAUUGUAGAUUUUCUGCUGCUUCUGGUGUUUUCGCACCUGCGGUUUGGGGACCACAGGUGCGGUCUCGCAGAUAUAUUAUUUGGGUCGCAGAAGUGGAAAGGAUGAGGGAGGCCUGGAAUCACAGAUGCGGAAAGGGGGCCGCACCCACAGAGCAGCAGAUUUGGCGAGUGGACUGCAGAUGAAGUAUUGAUCUGUUAAGGGAAUUCUGCAGAUACAGAGAAGUGACAUAGACACGCGCUUGAUGAUGAGCGUGAGGUCGUUUUGUAUUAGAGAUUGUGAUUCGGUCCAUCCCGAUUGAUAAUUUUACUGCAUAUUUGACUGAAACUUAUUUGUUAUCUUUCUCAUGAUUUGGACUGAUGUCGUAUUUGGGCUUCGUGCCAACUAUUUGAACCCUUCGGGGAUUUUUAUGGCUUGUCUUAGUCCAUUCAAGCUCUUUUGGAUUAUUACGGCUCAUCCUACUAUUAAAUUACGGGAUGUAACAGUGGUGUCCUUCAAAACUCGAAACCUUAAACUAUUCUAGAAGAACAUACUAAAGCAGCACACCAAUGACAAUGAUUUAUAUCAAUGUUUAGAACCCGACAUAAGGAUUGUUCAUACUCUCUUCAUUUUUAGACCAAUGCCAAAAUUGUUUAAAUAUUUGUGUGACUCUUCUAAUAUCCUAGCCUCAAAAAUUGACUCAACUACAUUCCUUUUUGUGACUCGCUUCUUGUGCAAACUAAAUAUGUGAGUUCUUUACCAAUCUGUUGUAAAGCAUGUGCACUCGCUAACAAAACAAAGAGAGUAAUCAGUAUGCACACUCAAAUAUGAAUUCAAGUAUAAUUUAAGGACUCACAGAAUGAAAGAAUUCACUCACUCUCGCAAAAAAACUCCUGUGCCCCAAAGCUCAUACCAUAGGCUUGCCCGUAAUGUAAGUCUCUACUAGUUUAAGCUUGCAAAGUUUAGGAUCUAUUAGGUCUUCAUGGGUUGUAAUGUAAGUUAAGGUAAGGGUAGAAUAUAUAUGGAUAAUAAUGACUAACCCUCCUAAUCACUUUCAAUACAAUACACUUUAACUUUUAAGCAUAUCCUCGUCAUGAUUACUUAACAUAUCGCUACGAAACUGCAGCUAACGUAGCCCAUUGACUUUCAGCACAUUACAGUAGCACAUAUCAAAGUGAAUUGGAGGGAUUUUUUUUAUUUGGUAUUUUUUUUUUCAAAAUCUUCUCAAUACCCUCCAUAAAUUGGUAUUUCCAGCUAGUAGCUCUAUCUAUUCACACAUGUACCUUUUGGCCUUUCUAUGGUUCCACUCACUAACUGCCCAAUCUCUUUUCGCUCUCUUCUAGCGACUUAAGUGCUUUCAGAGGUAAAUAUUCAAUAAGAUUUAAUUAAGAACAAAAGGGAUUCUUCUUGUAAUGUGGGUAUCAAAGAAAUAGUUUACAGACUCAAAUGGGAUAAUAGAGAAUAAUGUUUAUCAUUGGUAGGCAAAUAGACUGAAGGAUCAAUCAAAGAAACGCCUAUAUCAUUUCCUAAACUCACAUCAAUUAAUCAUUUCGAGUUGAGUCGCGCAAGGGGAAAUGUCUAGACUAACAAGGGAUGGCACAUAGUACAAUUAAAAUCUCACAUCACACAAUGACAUCACUUAUUCAGGAUGACUCAGACUCGACUCUCAAGUUAAAGCAACUAGCACAGUCAUAAUAUAAUUCAAUCACAUAGGAUGUUCAUAUAGAAGUCAAAAGAUGAGCCUAAGUGUCAGAAUAAGUCAUAUAUACUCUCAAGGCAUAUAGUCACAAGACUCAAGAAGAAGGUACUCAACACAAACGCUUCAUCUCUAAGCCCCAACAUAAAACAUGUCAAAAAGCAUAGAUACUCAAGUUCUUCCUAUUCCUUUAUCAAUUCAAAAAGAAUAAAUAAUAAACUUUUUUUUUGUAUUUAUCCUUGGACCAAGAGGUCCACCGUCGGAAAAAGUCCAUUUCUUUUUGAGAAUGCUACCUACAAGACAAACAAUUAUUACCUCGUUCAAAGAGUCAUCCCUUGGAAAAGAACCUCGGACAUGAGGAAAUCCAAGAGGGAUUAUUUCUACCUAAUUUUAUUUAUUUGAUUUUUAAUUUUUUCCAACACAUAAAAUAACACAACUAAAAUAAUAUAAAAAAUCACUCAAAUAGUCUCUUCACCCUACAAUUAAAAUUGUGUAUUGUCCCCAAUGCAGACUCAUAAAUACAAGAGGGUAAAAGAAACUCCCUGGUAUGCCAAUGGCGAAGUAUUAGCAGCUCAUGGGGUACUGAGACUUCUCCCAGACUUGAUUCUUUAUGCGGGUAGCCCAUACUUAAUUCUUACCAUCUCACUUGCUUUUGCUUUCUUCUACUGGAUUUGCUUCCGAUAGUCCUAGAAAAUAAAAAAGGACACUACAAAAAUAAAUCAAUAAAAUAAUAUAAAAAAUUAAUAAUAAAGAAAGCAGUAAAGUUGUGUUGCCUCCCAACAAGCGCCUGACUUAACAUUGCGGCAUGACGCGAAUCACUUUUUGCCUCCACCUUGAUCAUCCCUAAGUUUUUCUUCAAGUAUAUGAUUAUGCUCCUGGGGCAAUUUAAAUUCUUGCGAGCCAAAAAUUAAAUAAAUUCACAUGUAAUUUUUGGCUCUCCACCGAGGAGUGUCACCUUGCAUAGACGACCUUGAAAAUUUCAAAAUAUAAGGCUUAUCUACCUCUUCAUUGGACUUUUUAAGAGUUCGUAAAGAUCCAUUCCCAUUUUACCGUCUGGACAUAAUGCAGAAAAGUAUUUGGAAUGAGGUCCAACAUGCUCAAAUACAUGAACUUCAAGAUUUUCGACAUCCUCAACACCAAUCACAUUAGAGUCAGCUAAAUUUAUAUCCUCAACGUCCUUGGUUGACUCUAGUAUUACUUCUUCAACAUCGGCAUCCUCAAAUUCUAGUUGGUUAGAUUGUUGGUAUUUUACUCUGACCUCCUCCAUUAGAACCUCAAUUUUGGUACCUAAUUCAUGCUCUUGUUAGCUACUAUCUGCAAUAUCAACUUGUUGUGUAUUAAAUGCUUUAACUGAUUGACUCACUUGUGCCUAUAGGUUGCGAACACUAGCAUCUUGCCUUUGCAUAUGUAGUUUUCUCAUUAUUUUGUUCCACAAGGAACCUUAGCAAUCAUUGAUCUCUUUAAGGUCAUCAUCAAUGGGUUCUUUAUUCCUAUUAACUUCACAAGAAAAAGAAGAACAAUUAAAGUAAGGAGUUGAGGGCAAAUAAUAAAUAUAAGCACAACCAUGAAAGUGAUCAUCUUAACACCACAUAUAUCACACACAUUCCAGACAUAAGAUUGAGUUGGUACACAUAACUCACUGUUGCGAAUAUUUUGAUAGUUUUUCCAUGAGUGAUUUCUUCCACAAUAAGCAUUGGGAAGAUCAAUACUAUAAUUACCAAUAUCGAAACCCUCAUAAUUCCAAGAGGCCAUGUUUCUAAAGUAACCAAGCAAAACUAAAUAUAAAAAAUAAAAUAAUUAGAAAAAUAAAAUAAAAGUUCAAACUUGAAACCUAGAAAUAUGUACAACUGUACCCACAUCAUUAUUUCCCCUGCAACGACACUAUAUCUGAUCACGCCCAACUCUAGUCCUAAAAGGAUAAGCAGCCGCUGCAAAUAUAACCUUGUCUAAAAGUCCGGAGUCGAAUUGCACAGAGAACUAAGGUUUAAAUAUAACUGUUCACUAUCACCAAGAAGACAAGCUUGAACAAUUUCUAACUUAUAAAUAUUAUGAUUCUUAUGUCUAACUAAUUAACUAAUAAAUUAAAAUAGUAAGUUAACAAACAAAGAUACUAAAGGUUAGAGACAAAAUUAAGGAGGUCUAAAAUUAUGAUUUUCCUAAUCAUCGGAUUCCUUGCCGCUACAUCUCCUAAAAUUUUGCCUAAUUAUUCUCUAGUGAUCAUAAGCAACCGAAGGUUGUGAGUUCACCCUACACUUAAAAUAGUGUAUUGUCCCCAACGCACACUCAUAAAUACAAGAGGGUAAAAGAAACUCCUUGGUAGGCCAAUGGCCGAAGUAUUAGCAGCUCAUGGGGUACUGAGACUUCUCCCAGACUUGAUUCUUUGUGCGGGCACCCCAUAUUUAAUUCUAACCAUCUCACUUGCUUUUGCUUUUCUAAUGCCUUUGCUUCCGAUACUCCUAGAAAAUAAAAAAUAACACUACAAAAAUAAUACAAUAAAAUAAUAUAAAAAAUUUAAAAUAAAAGAAAGCAGUAAAGUUGUGUUGCCUCCCAACAAGCGCUUGACUUAACGUUGCGGCAUGACGCGAAUCACUUUUUGCCUCCACCUUGAGCAUAUGAAUUGAACCAUAAGUUUUUCAUAAAGUUUAUGAUUAUGCUCCUGGGGCGAUUUAAAUUCUUGCGAGCCAAUAAUUAAAUAAAUUCACAUGUACUUUUUGGCUCUCCACCGAGUAGUGUCACCUUGCCUAGACGACCUUGAAAAUUUCAAAAUAUAAGGCUUAUCUACCUCUUCCUUGGACUCUUUUUAAUUUUAGUAAAGAUCCAUUCCCAUUUUACCGUCUGGAUAUAAUGUAGAAAAGUAUUUUUGAUGAGAUCCAACACGCUCAAAUACAUGAACUUCAAGAUUUUCGACAUCCUCAACACCAAUCACACUAGAGUCAACUAAAUUUAUAUGACUCUAGUAUUACUUCUUCAACAUCGGCAUCCUCAAAUUCUAGUUGGUUAGAUUAUUGGUGUUUUACUCUGACCUCCUCCAUUAGAACCUCAAUUUCGGUAUCUAAUUCAUGCUCUUGUUAGCUACUAUCUGCAGUAUCAACUUGUUGAGUAUUAAAUACUUCAACUAAUUAACUCACUUGUGCCUAUAGGUUGUUAAUAGUAGCAUCUUGCCUUUGUAUGUAUAGUUUUCUCAUUAUUUUGUUCCACAAGGCACCUUAGCAUAUCAUUGAUCUCUUUAAGGUCAUCAUCCCUGGGUUCUUUAUUCCUAUUAACUUCACAAGAAAAAGAAGAACAAUUAAAGUAAGGAGUUGAGGGCAAAUAAUAAAUAUAAGCACAACCAUGAAAGUGAUCAUCUUGACACCACAUAUCUCACACACAUUCCACACAUAAGAUUGAGUUGGUACACAAAACUCACUGUCACAAAUAUUUUGAUAAUUUUUCCAUGAGUGAUUUCUUCCACAAUAAGCAUUAGGAAGAUCAAUGCUAGAAUUACCAAUAUCGAAACUCUCAUAAUUCCAAGAGGCCAUGUUUCUAAAAUAACCAAGUAAAACUACAAUAAAAAAUUAAAUACUUAGAAAAAUAAAAUAAAAGUUCAAACUUGAAACCUAGCAAUAUGUACAACUAUACCCACAUUAUUAUUUCCCCUGCAACGACACUAUAUCUGAUCACGCCCUACUCUAGUUCUAAAAGGAUAAGCAGCCGCUGCAAAUAUAACCCUGUCUAAAAGUCCGGAGUCGAAUUGCACAAAGAACUAAGGUUUAAAUAUAACUAUUCACUAUCACCAAGAAUACAAGCUUGAACAAUUUCUAACUUAUAAAUAUUAUGAUUCUUAUGUAUAACUAAUUAACUAAUAAAUUAAAAUAGUAAGUUAACAACCAAAGAUACUAAGGGUUAGAGACAAAAUUAAGGUGAUCUAAAAUUAUAAUUUUCCUAAUCAUCGAAUUCCUUGCCGCUUUAUCUCCUAUUAUUUUGCCUAAUUAUUCUCUACUGAUCGUAAGCAACCGAGAGGUUGUGAGUUCGAGUCUCCCCAAGAGCA
rnacentral:lncRNA from 1 species